UGCAUCGCCUCGUCCUCGCAUUCUCAGUGGCAGCGCGGCACCACCAUCCCCGCGCCCUAGCCUCACACUAGAGACGAGAGGGGUCAAGGAGCGGCCUCUUCGGCGCCGGCGAGCGCGAGAGGCGGCGAACUCGCGAGCCUUGCUCCGUCGUUUCUCCCCGGCGGCUGCCGAGAAGAUAAAUUCACUAGCAGUUCAUCCAUCCUACACAUGAUUGUCACAUGGAGAAUUCCAGGAACAGAUCUGCAUUGACAUGAAGCUUCUUCAAUGAUGUCGUGCUAGUCUGCUGUGCUAACAUUUUGAGUGGAGCACACAUGGCAGACACCCUAUUUCUUGUUCUCAGAAAAAUUGCUCUCUCCCUCGGAGGAGCGGCGUCAGAGAAGCUGAGCACAGAGGUAGUGGAGGCAGCAUCGGUUCUGACGGAUUUCGAGCAUGGCAUGAAACAGAUCGAGGGCGAGUUCAUGAUUCUAAAGGCAUUUAUUGGCCAGGUUAGCGCACAGAAUGUUGGUGACAAGACAUUUGAUGCCUGGCUGGACCAAGUUAGAGAUGUUGCCCAUCAGGUAGAAGAUAUCAUUGACGAGUAUACUUUCCUCACUUCGCAAGCUGCGGGCAUAGACAGAUUCUUCAAGAGGAAAUUCCAUCAGGCUAAGAGCUUUGCAGCAUGGCGGAACCUGUCAAGCCAGAUUGAUCAAGUAGAAGCUCGAAUUCAGCGGCUCACUACAAUGAAACAUCGUUAUGGAAUUUCUGUACGAGAACCGGGCAGGAGUAGCACACUACAAUAUGCCAGGCAGCUCUCUCUAUCAGAUUCUUCUUAUCUAUCUGAUGAUACUGAGUUAGUGGGCAAUGCCAGUGAAAUAAGUAUGUUGACACAAUGGCUACUCACAGAGCGACAAGACCGAUUGAUCAUGUCCAUCCUUGGCAUAGGAGGUCUAGGAAAAACAACCAUAGCAAGCAGUAUCUACAAAAAUCAACAGAUUAUCAGAAUGUUUGACUGUCAUGUGUGGGUGACUUUAUCUCAGAAUUAUCUAGUUGAAGACCUACUGAGGCAAAUCAUGAAGCAACUGAUGGACCAAAGAGCCUACAUGGCCAGUGGUAUCGAGACUAUGAGUCGUGUAAGACUAAUCGAGGAACUUCAGAGCUACCUACAGGACAAGAAAUAUCUGGUUGUCUUGGAUGAUGUAUGGGAUAGAGAUGACUGGUUAUUUUUGAAGCGUGCACUUGUAAUAAAUAAUCAUGGAAGUAGAGUGCUAGUGACAACUCGCAAAAAGGAUGUUGCUUCCUUAGCAAACGACGGAUUUGUUGUGGAGCUUAAAGUUCUUCCUUAUGCUGAAGCAUGGCACCUAUUCUGUCAAAAGGCAUUCCGUAGAUUAGAAGACAAAAUAUGUCCACUAAAUCUGAGGCUUUGGGCAGAGAAAAUUGUGAAAAAGUGCCAAGGACUUCCACUGGCUAUCGUCGCAAUUGGGAGCCUUUUGUCGUACCGAGAACUAGAGGAGCAAGAGUGGAGUUCUCUCCACAACCAACUUAGCUGGCAACUAGCUAACAAUCCAGAGCUCAGUUGGAUUGUGAGUGUUCUGAAUCUCAGCUUGAAUGAUCUCCCAAGUCAUUUAAAGAAUUGCUUCCUAUACUGCAGCCCUUUCCCUGAAGACUACAAGGUUAAAAGAAGAUGGAUCUGCAGGCUUUGGGUCGCAGAAGGUCUUGUUGAGGAAAGAGGUGCCGGGACAACAAUGGAGGAAGUUGCUGAGUGUUACCUAAAGGAGCUCACUCGUCGUUCUCUUCUUGAAGUUGCAGAAAGGAAUGUUCAUGGAAGAGCUAGCUCAUUUCAAAUGCAUGACCUUGUGCGCGAUGCAUGUCUGAUUGUUGCAAACAGAGAGAAGUUUGCUGUCGUAUACGGUGACCCUGGUAUAACCCAGGUUAACUCUGAAGUCCGCCGCUUGUUUGUUCAGAAGCAUGCUCGGUCUCUAAAGCUUGCUGCAGCGUCACGGAUCCGAUCUUUAAUCUUAUUUGACACACAAGUUGCAUCCUCUUGGAUAUAUGACAUUUCAUCAAAUUUCAGACUGAUCCGUGUCCUGUGUCUAAGGUUUGCUAACAUUCAUCAAGUGCCGGCUGUUGUCCCAGACUUGCUUAAUUUGCACUAUUUGGAUUUAGCUCACACAAAGGUUAAGCAUAUACCAGCAUCGCUCGGUAAACUUACGAACCUACAAGUUUUGGACCUGCAGUUCACCUAUGUGGAGCAGCUGCCAUGGGAAAUAACAAACCUGACUAAAUUGAGGCAUCUGUAUGUAUACAUGCUCCAUGAUUUUCAAGAAAGGAUAUUUGACUGCUUUUCUGCUACAAAUAUCCCUGGCAAUAUUUGCCGUCUAAAGAAUCUGCAAAGCUUACAAUCUGUUUCAGCCAACAAAAACCUACUUACGCAGCUCGGUGAGUUGACACUGAUGAGAAGUUUGGCUAUAAUGAAAAUGCGUCAAAACUACAUUGCAGAGUUAUGGGACUCCUUGGCCAGGAUGCCUAGCCUCAGUAGGUUGGUUAUUUUUGCAAACAGCAAGGAUGAGGUUCUUAAUCUGAUAAAGAUAAAGCCCUUGCAAAAUCUAAAGUUUUUCUGGUUGAGAGGGAGGUUGUAUGAGGGAGUGCUCCCGCAGAUCUUUGCAAGUUUUGAGAAGCUCGCUGCGUUGAAACUUGAUUGUUCUUGUCUGAAGAAAGAUCCUAUUAACUCCUUUGCUCACACGCUGAAUCUAGUGUAUCUGAAUCUUUGCAGAACUUAUGAUGGGGAACAAUUAACAUUUCGUGCAGGAUGGUUUCCCAAGCUCAGUUCUCUUGCAUUAGUUGACAUGGAACGUUUAAAUUCGAUUGAGAUUGAGGAAGGCACAAUGAAGGUUCUACAUACUUUGGAGAUUGUUGGUCUAAAGAGUCUGAAGAUAGUGCCUCGAGGCAUCAAGCACAUUAAGACACUACAGAAGAUGGUUCUAACAGAUAUGCGAAAGGAGUUCAUGGAUAGGCUGCAUGCGGAUGACAGUGACAUUGUUGAGCAUAUACCUGACAUCCAGAGUUUUGACUCCUUCGAUUCUGAAGCUGGUAAUCUCCAUAUGUACACUGUGAAUACCUUGAGCAAACCGUGGUUAUGGUCAGUUUAGUUUUUCACAAAUAGUACAUGUUAGGAAAUCUCAAGCCCCCCCACGAAAAGAAAAAUCUCAAACCAGCUUUUAAGAAGAUGGUUCUUCUGCCACAUCUUGCAAAGAAGUAUGGCACUGGCUGGUGGGAGCUUUGUUAAGAUAUCUAUAGAUACUUAUGUUGGUUAGGGUUCUACCCGCCUCUGACAUGUAGAUAAACUUGGAGUGCAAUUUGUAUGAUAGUCCCUCCGUCCCAAAAUAAGUGUCUCAGCUUUAGUACAACUUUUUACUAAAAUUAGUGCGAAGUUGUGACACUUAUUUUGAGACAGAGGGAGUAUGAUUGUAACAACCUUAACCGUGCAUUGCAAGUAUACGUGGACUCGUACGGUUGGUAGAUACGCUUCCCAACAUUUUCAUAAGCUGCAGGCAGGAGAUAUAUCGGGCUGUUUGGAUUAUUGCUCCGAGACGUGCUGCCAAAAUAUUGGCCGUUCACCCAGACGUGGUGCUCAUUUGGAUGGAGGCCAAAUAGUUGGUGCGCCCACCCCUCUGUAGCAGCUCAUAGUUCUUGUGCAGGGCGAUCAUUUGCCCCACUGCAUGGAGGGGGGAAGCAUGUGUGCUGUAAUUGAAGAUUUCUGUUGUAGCAAAAGUUUUUCUUUUUGUGGGGAGUGUUGUAGCAAAAUUUUAAUCUCUUUACAACCACUGUAGAUUGCUGAUGCAAAUGGCUCUACAUUCCACCCUGAAUAGACCAGAAAUGAACCUGAAAUGCCCCCU